CAUUACGCUUUUUUUUUUCGAUAGCAAGAAAAUUUGUUUAUGUGCUUUCUAUUUCAAGCAUGCUGUCUCCUUGUUAUCAAUUCUGUUCAAUUAUCCUACCACUUCCGUCGCAAUAAACGUGCACAGUGUUUCAACAACGUGCAGUGUAUAAGCAAUCGCUUCGUCUCUCAUAAAGGAUCUCUCGCUUCUUGGCUUAUUAGCAUCGCUCGCAACCUAAGUGCUGUCUAAUAAUUUGCCGUGUGCCUGUUCAAUCCUCUACUAAGAGCAAUCUCUGGGGGAGCAUUCGAACAACUUUGUCCUAUCAAAUUCAUCCGCUCAACCGCACCAGAUCAACCUUUAAAUUGAACAUCGAAUAUUAUGCCGCUAUGCCAUGAACUCGGUUGUUUGCUUUCCGCUUCUCUCCGUGCGUGUAGCGUUCUACCCGUGCGUGCAAAGUGUAUGUGUGUACAGUGGUGACGUGUGAUGUGUGCCUUAAAGUGUAGUUAGCCUGCCAAACUUUUUUUUUUUUUUUUCACUAUUUUUACAAAUUUUUAUUAUGGAUAUGCAUAAAAAUUAAUAUAAUAAGCUUAUAAAUCGAUAACAUCCUAAUUUUAAACCCGAUCAGCUAAAUUAGCAUUAUUAUAGAAAUGUUGAUGCAUAUCCAU